CCAGCACUUUGGGAGGCCGAGGCGGGUGGAUCAUGAGAGAACCAUCCGGAGUAGUGAGCAUGCUUCAUGUCCAGAUGCUGCUUGCUGAAAACAUUCUCAGAACAAGAGGGACUAGCCCAAGAGGGAAAGCCCUGCAGAUCGCUCACUCUGGGAGUCACCUAUCAUGUCAUGAUGAUGCUCAAGCAGCCUUGCGUAAAAGCUUCACGAGGAGAGGAACUGAGACCUCCUGCCAACAGCCAUGAGAGGAGCUGUCGUAAAAGCAGAUCCUCUAGCCCCAGUCAAGCCUUCAGAUGACAGCAGCUCCUGUGGACAUCUUGACCACAACUUCAUGAGACCCUAAGCCAGAAACACUCAUCUAAACUUCCCCAGACCUCUGACUCUCAGAAACUGUGAGAUAAUAAAUGUUUGUUAUUC